UUAGGGUAUAACGUAAUUGGUUAACGUAUUUGCUUUGGGAGUAAAAAAUUGUAGGUUCGAGUCCUACUACCCUAAU
rnacentral:tRNA from 1 species